GAUCGAUACAAAACUUAGACUCCUGCACAUCUUCAGCUAAGAUCUCUGACUCGUAUUUCUUGGUGUCAUUCGCCAGCAAUGGCUUUUUGGAAUGAGAAGAAGAAAUGGCACCAGCACAAGAAGAGGCAAGAGAAGAAGAAGAUGGCAGCAUUGCCGCUGUUGAAAAUGCAAGAUUUGGGUUCUUGGGUCGAACAAGAGCUGACAACAAAAGAAUAAGAGAAGCCAUAGAAGAAAUGCAAGAUUGAAGAAUUUUGGAAUGAUGAAAUGAAAUGGUGAAGAGCAUUUUAUAAUGUUAAUACAUAGGGAUUAUCGAA
rnacentral:misc_RNA from 1 species